rnacentral:rRNA from 1 species
UACAGAGGUCUCAAGCGUUGUUCGGAUUCAUUGGGCGUAAAGGGUGCGUAGGUGGCGCCGUAAGUCAGGUGUGAAAUUUCGGAGCUUAACUCCGGAACUGCAUUUGAUACUGCGGUGCUUGAGGACUGGAGAGGAGACUGGAAUUUACGGUGUAGCAGUGAAAUGCGUAGAGAUCGUAAGGAAGACCAGUGGCGAAGGCGGGUCUCUGGACAGUUCCUGACACUGAGGCACGAAGGCCAGGGGAGCAAACGGG